CCAUACACAUUCAAAAUUACAUUAUAAGUUAUCAAAGUCGGUUUGCACCCCUCUUCCUCCAUCUUCCUAAACACCAAAACAGCAUCCCUGUACCUUCCAUUACUAGCGUAAGCAGUUAUCAACGAAGUAUAAGCAUAAACAUCAAGAUCGAGCCCAUCUAUACGCAGAUUAUUUAACAAAGAAGCCGCUGCUGAAACUUUACCCUGUUUACCCAGCAUACUAAUGAUCACAGCUACAACAGAACAAUUCAAAACCAAUUCACAAUCCUUUCUAUUCCGAACCCACUCAAACACACUCAUUGCCAAAUCACAUUUCUUGUAAAACCCUAAACCCUUAAUUAUACCUAAAAUAUCCAUAGACAAACUAUCA
rnacentral:misc_RNA from 1 species